rnacentral:lncRNA from 1 species
CGUGCAAAAGUCGAGCAUAAUCCCCAAAAUAUGGAAAAGAAUCAAAAACUAACAAAAUAUGGAAUAUUGCCAAAAUUGAAAAAUUCGCCAAAUUUUUGAACCAUGUGGCCGAAUGGUGUAUUUUCAUGCAGUCGCAUGGUUUAACCAAAAAUCCAUCUUGAGUUUCGGUAUGCCUCCAUGCGGUCGCAUGGUGCGGUCGCACAGGCUUGUUUUCAGCCUCCGAUUUCGUCGCUUGAUGACAAAUUGAUCCAAGUUGAUUCGGCCCUUGACCCGAACAUGAAAGUUGC